UUAAGCGACUAAGCGUACACGGUGGAUGCCCUGGCAGUCAGAGGCGAUGAAGGACGUGCUAAUCUGCGAAAAGCGUCGGUAAGGUGAUAUGAACCGUUAUAACCGGCGAUGUCCGAAUGGGGAAACCCAGUGCAAUUCGUUGCACUAUCGUUAACUGAAUACAUAGGUUAACGAGGCGAACCGGGGGAACUGAAACAUCUAAGUACCCCGAGGAAAAGAAAUCAACCGAGAUUCCCCCAGUAGCGGCGAGCGAACGGGGAGCAGCCCAGAGUCUGAAUCAGCUUGUGUGUUAGUGGAACGGUCUGGAAAGUCCGACGGUACAGGGUGAUAGUCCCGUACACCAAAAUGCACAGGCUGUGAACUCGAAGAGUAGGGCGGGACACGUGGUAUCCUGUCUGAAUAUGGGGGGACCAUCCUCCAAGGCUAAAUACUCCUGACUGACCGAUAGUGAACCAGUACCGUGAGGGAAAGGCGAAAAGAACCCCGGCGAGGGGAGUGAAAAAGAACCUGAAACCGUGUACGUACAAGCAGUGGGAGCACCUUCGGGUGUGACUGCGUACCUUUUGUAUAAUGGGUCAGCGACUUAUAUUCUGUAGCAAGGUUAACCGUAUAGGGGAGCCGCAGGGAAACCGAGUCUUAACUGGGCGUUAAGUUGCAGGGUAUAGACCCGAAACCCGGUGAUCUAGCCAUGGGCAGGUUGAAGGUUGGGUAACACUAACUGGAGGACCGAACCGACUAAUGUUGAAAAAUUAGCGGAUGACUUGUGGCUGGGGGUGAAAGGCCAAUCAAACCGGGAGAUAGCUGGUUCUCCCCGAAAGCUAUUUAGGUAGCGCCUCGUGAACUCAUCUUCGGGGGUAGAGCACUGUUUCGGCUAGGGGGUCAUCCCGACUUACCAACCCGAUGCAAACUACGAAUACCGAAGAAUGUUAUCACGGGAGACACACGGCGGGUGCUAACGUCCGUCGUGAAGAGGGAAACAACCCAGACCGCCAGCUAAGGUCCCAAAGUCAUGGUUAAGUGGGAAACGAUGUGGGAAGGCACAGACAGCCAGGAUGUUGGCUUAGAAGCAGCCAUCAUUUAAAGAAAGCGUAAUAGCUCACUGGUCGAGUCGGCCUGCGCGGAAGAUGUAACGGGGCUAAACCAUGCACCGAAGCUGCGGCAGCGACACUAUGUGUUGUUGGGUAGGGGAGCGUUCUGUAAGCCUGCGAAGGUGUGCUGUGAGGCAUGCUGGAGGUAUCAGAAGUGCGAAUGCUGACAUAAGUAACGAUAAAGCGGGUGAAAAGCCCGCUCGCCGGAAGACCAAGGGUUCCUGUCCAACGUUAAUCGGGGCAGGGUGAGUCGACCCCUAAGGCGAGGCCGAAAGGCGUAGUCGAUGGGAAACAGGUUAAUAUUACUGUACUUGGUGUUACUGCGAAGGGGGGACGGAGAAGGCUAUGUUAGCCGGGCGACGGUUGUCCCGGUUUAAGCAUGUAGGCUGAUUGUCCAGGCAAAUCCGGAUAAUCAAGGCUGAGGUGUGAUGACGAGGCACUACGGUGCUGAAGUAACAAAUGCCCUGCUUCCAGGAAAAGCCUCUAAGCAUCAGGUAACAUCAAAUCGUACCCCAAACCGACACAGGUGGUCAGGUAGAGAAUACCAAGGCGCUUGAGAGAACUCGGGUGAAGGAACUAGGCAAAAUGGUGCCGUAACUUCGGGAGAAGGCACGCUGGUGUGUAGGUGAAGUCCCUGCGGAUGGAGCUGAGACCAGUCGAAGAUACCAGCUGGCUGCAACUGUUUAUUAAAAACACAGCACUGUGCAAACACGAAAGUGGACGUAUACGGUGUGACGCCUGCCCGGUGCCGGAAGGUUAAUUGAUGGGGUUAUCCGUAAGGAGAAGCUCUUGAUCGAAGCCCCGGUAAACGGCGGCCGUAACUAUAACGGUCCUAAGGUAGCGAAAUUCCUUGUCGGGUAAGUUCCGACCUGCACGAAUGGCGUAAUGAUGGCCAGGCUGUCUCCACCCGAGACUCAGUGAAAUUGAACUCGCUGUGAAGAUGCAGUGUACCCGCGGCAAGACGGAAAGACCCCGUGAACCUUUACUAUAGCUUGACACUGAACAUUGAGCCUUGAUGUGUAGGAUAGGUGGGAGGCUUUGAAGCGUGGACGCCAGUCUGCGUGGAGCCAACCUUGAAAUACCACCCUUUAAUGUUUGAUGUUCUAACGUUGGCCCCUGACCGGGGUUGCGGACAGUGUCUGGUGGGUAGUUUGACUGGGGCGGUCUCCUCCCAAAGCGUAACGGAGGAGCACGAAGGUUAGCUAAUCCUGGUCGGACAUCAGGAGGUUAGUGCAAUGGCAUAAGCUAGCUUGACUGCGAGCGUGACGGCGCGAGCAGGUGCGAAAGCAGGUCAUAGUGAUCCGGUGGUUCUGAAUGGAAGGGCCAUCGCUCAACGGAUAAAAGGUACUCCGGGGAUAACAGGCUGAUACCGCCCAAGAGUUCAUAUCGACGGCGGUGUUUGGCACCUCGAUGUCGGCUCAUCACAUCCUGGGGCUGAAGUAGGUCCCAAGGGUAUGGCUGUUCGCCAUUUAAAGUGGUACGCGAGCUGGGUUUAGAACGUCGUGAGACAGUUCGGUCCCUAUCUGCCGUGGGCGCUGGAGAAUUGAGGGGGGCUGCUCCUAGUACGAGAGGACCGGAGUGGACGCAUCACUGGUGUUCGGGUUGUCAUGCCAAUGGCACUGCCCGGUAGCUAAAUGCGGAAGAGAUAAGUGCUGAAAGCAUCUAAGCACGAAACUUGCCCCGAGAUGAGUUCUCCCUGAGACUUUAAGUCUCCUGAAGGAACGUUAAAGACGAUGACGUUGAUAGGCCGGGUGUGUAAGCGCAGCGAUGCGUUGAGCUAACCGGUACUAAUGAACCGUGAGGCUUAACCUU
rnacentral:rRNA from 3 species